GGGCUAGCAACAAUUAGAGAGGCUGCCUGCUUCUCAUGGAUCCCCAGGAGGGAUGGAGUUCUGAGACUCUUGAACUGGUCCUUGCUUCAACAAACUUAUGGGGGAUUCCUUUAACAGCCUGAAAAGUUAACUGCAUCUGUCUCAAAACAAAGGCACCCACUAUGGAAGCAAAUUAUCAGGGACACAACUGCAAGGGAAGUGUUGAUAUACUUUGAAAAAAUGCCUUGGGGUCGGGGUUCUGGACAAGACAAGAGGCUAUGAAGGUGCUGCCACUGUGGGUCUUUUUAAGAGCAGCUUCUCAAUGCCUUCAGGUUUACUAGGAGCAAGGAUCGAAGAAGAGACACGGAGGAACAGAACACGGAAAGAACCAGCAAAAGAGCAGGCAUUUCUAACAGCUAUAGACAAAUCCCCCUCCCCUGCCCCCACCACAAACAAACAAACAAACAAACAAACAAACAAACGAAACCCUCAAAGGAGAACACCAGAGACAGAAAACAAACAAUACUGUGUCUCUAAAACAACCCCUACCGCAGGAAUAAAACACUGCUGUGACAUCACAAGGAGCUAUAUAAGGACAGCCAGCCCAGAACACUGAGAUCUAUGUAAAAUAAUUCUGAAGUAUUCACAGAUGAAAAGCUGCUUGCACAGAGCCCAGGACAGAGUGCAGCAGGUUCACAGGGGACUUUUUCAGCUUGAGCCCUGAGCAUCUUCAGUUCUACUUCCAAAUGGCUGACUGGUAGAGCUGCUGUUGACCUUCUGAUCUACUGCCAGAGAUGGGAACAGGAGUCAACACCUCCAGGCCAGGCUCUCUAGGGGUGCUCAGGUAUCGGCAGCCCCCAGCCAUGCUCUGUCCAAGGGUCAGGGGUCAGAGAGCUGAGCUCAUCAUCUAGUUAACAGUGAUCAGUCUUCCUCAACGCAAAGUCCAGCACAAACUCACACUAGAGCCAAGGCUCUCCCCCGAGGGCUGGUUUUCUGUCUGCCUAGGCUCUGGGAAACAUCAGCUGGAAGCAGCCAUGCUAUAGCUUGAGCAGCUGCUCCAGAGCUGACAGCACAACAGUGACUUUCCAGGCCAGAAAGGGGUGUGGAUCUCUGCAACUGUGCUACAGAUGUUGUAACCACCAAUCACAUGGAUGAUGGGAUUCAAACUUGGGUCCUCUGAAAAGCAGCCAGUGCUCUUAACCACGAAGCCAUCUCUCCAGCCCCCAAGCACAUCUUUGCGGUGAAGAUGGGGGGAAAUCCUAUGGAAGAGUAAAUAAGGUAUUCCCACA